UACGUAGGGAGCAAGCGUUGUCCGGAAUCAUUGGGCGUAAAGCGCGCGUAGGUGGCCAUGUAAGUCCGCUGUGAAAGUCAAAGGCUCAACCUUUGAAAGCCGGUGGAUGACUGCACGGCUAGAGUACGGAAGAGGCGAGUGGAAUUCCUGGUGUAGCGGUGGAAUGCGCAGAUAUCAGGAGGACACCAAUAGCGAAGGCAGCUCGCUGGGACGUACUGACACUGAGAAGCGAAAGCAUGGGGAGCGAACAG
rnacentral:rRNA from 1 species